AGUGAGCGCUGGCGGUAGGCCUAACACAUGCAAGUCGAACGGCAGCACAGAGGAGCUUGCUCCUUGGGUGGCGAGUGGCGGACGGGUGAGGAAUACAUCGGAAUCUACUCUGUCGUGGGGGAUAACGUAGGGAAACUUACGCUAAUACCGCAUACGACCUACGGGUGAAAGCAGGGGACCUUCGGGCCUUGCGCGAUUGAAUGAGCCGAUGUCGGAUUAGCUAGUUGGCGGGGUAAAGGCCCACCAAGGCGACGAUCCGUAGCUGGUCUGAGAGGAUGAUCAGCCACACUGGAACUUAGACACGGUCCAGACUCCUACGGGAGGCAGCAGUGGGGAAUAUUGGACAAUGGGCGCAAGCCUGAUCCAGCCAUACCGCGUGGGUGAAGAAGGCCUUCGGGUUGUAAAGCCCUUUUGUUGGGAAAGAAAUCCAGCUGGCUAAUACCCGGUUGGGAUGACGGUACCCAAAGAAUAAGCACCGGCUAACUUCGUGCCAGCCGCCGCGGUAA
rnacentral:rRNA from 1 species